CUCUCCCUUCCCUACAUGGUCAAUAUUCAGUUCUAAUGCUGCAACGGCCGCUAUCACCGUGUACUGUCUCCUAUUGAGAUAAGGAAGCCAGGAACAUACUCACCACAGUGGCCACUCGGAGUCUUCGGAGCCUACCCGGAUACACGAAAGGACGAGUCGAUCGGGAGGUGUUUAACUUUUUCUAACCAAAAAGCCAUAAGGCUUGUCCCUGGAUGGAAGUUCAAGAGGAUGGUGACCAGAAGGCCCACAGGGAAUGUUGAAGAGUUAUAUUGGCUACAAAUGAAAGAUUGCGCG